GGAGAAGGAACUGUGGGCCUUGAGAAGGACUGUUUCUCUGGAGUGUUGAAGAGGAAAGCCUGAUCGGCUGGGAGCGGAUAACAGCUUUGUUUAAUAGUUUUGCAGUAAAUUAAGGACAUGAGGGUAGUGGCCAUAGGGGAAUUUUUUUUUUAAGACGGUAAAAUUAACAGGUGUUUGUAUAUUGGUUGGACUGACUCAGUGGAGAGGAAAAUAUUGACGCAGGAGGAAGUGGAAGAAUUGCAGAAGCACCAUACUUGGUGAAGUGAGAGGAGCUGGGUCCAGGCAGC
rnacentral:lncRNA from 1 species